rnacentral:rRNA from 1 species
AGGACGAACGCUGGCGGCGUGCUUAACACAUGCAAGUCGAGCGGUAAGGCCCUUUCGGGGGUACACGAGCGGCGAACGGGUGAGUAACACGUGAGUAAUCUGCCCUCCACUUGGGGAUAAGCUUCGGAAACGGGGUCUAAUACCUGAUACGACAACUACCUGCAUGGGUUGUUGUGGAAAGUUUUUUCGGUGGGGAUGUGCUCGCGGCCUAUCAGUCUUGUUGGGUGGGGUAAUGGCCUUAACCGAAGGCUUCGGACGGGUAGCCGGCCUGAGAGGGUGACCGGCCACACGUGGGACUGAGACACGGCCCAGUACUCCGUACGGGAGGCAGCAGGUGGGAAUGUGACAGUGGCGAGCUGACUCCAGC